rnacentral:lncRNA from 1 species
AAGUCACAUUCCUCUUUUCUUCUAUAUAUCUAUCUAUACAAUGUGUCAAUAUUAAUGCAUUAUAAUUUUGAUUUUUACAAGAUUUUAAGUACGCGAAGGGAAAAGACUCAGUGUUGGAGGUGAGUGAACAAGAGUACAACACAUGCAACACGACACACCCCCUGACUUCCCUCUCAGACGGAGACUCUCUCUUUCUACUUAGCCACUCCGGUUCCUUCUUUUUCAUUAGUGGCAACUCUCAAAACUGUCUUAAAGGUCAGAAGCUAGCCGUCAAGGUCUUGUCCACCGUCCACCACAGCCACUCUCCUCGUCAUACCUCUCCCUCCUCGUCUCCGUCACCGUCACUGUCUCCGGUCCAUCAGGAUUUGUCUUCGCCGGUGCCUUCUCCAGGAGUGGAACCAUCAUCUGUAUCA